rnacentral:tRNA from 1 species
GAAGGUAUAGUUCAAGUAGUAGAGUGCAUGCUUAGCAUACAUGAAGUCCUGGGUUCAAUCCCUAGUACCUUCU